GACAGAGGAUGCAAGCGUUAUCCGGAAUGAUUGGGCGUAAAGCGUCUGUAGGUGGCUUUUCAAGUCCGCCGUCAAAUCCCAGGGCUCAACCCUGGACAGGCGGUGGAAACUACCAAGCUGGAGUACGGUAGGGGCAGAGGGAAUUUCCGGUGGAGCGGUGAAAUGCAUUGAGAUCGGAAAGGACACCAACGGCGAAAGCACUCUGCUGGGCCACUACUGACGCUGAGAAGCGAAGGCAUGGGGAGCGAACAGG
rnacentral:rRNA from 1 species